GUACUCUCACACUCCCAAUCUCUUUGGAUUGGGAGCGGUGGACUUGGGUGUUGCCGCUUGACUGAGGCUCACCUGAAAUAUGUUAGUGCAUCUCUUGAUUGGACAUAGUACGGCGUGAUAAGUGUCUUCGCCGGCUCCUCGCAAAGAGGGUGGCCGAUCGGGAGCUCUGUUGCUUCAAACAGUCUUCGGACAAUCUUCUGACA
rnacentral:misc_RNA from 1 species